UACAAGUUAGUUUGAGUUAGUGUUAGUGUUAGUGUUUGAUUUUGAUUUGAUAGCAGUGUCAAGGUCGAAAUAUCAAUAUUAUUAGGUUAAAAUACGAUUAUCACAAUCACACGCUUUUGUUAGUCUCGUUUGCGCGAGUUAAAUAUUGUUCCUUACCUUCUAUGUUUCUCAGAAUAACUUACCUAUUUAUUUAGAGAUCUUACUAUUUCUCUGACUAGUCUGUGUGGACUAGUUUCUCAUAAAAGGCCUAGAUCAAGCCUGAAUUCUAGGACCUUCAACAUAUUUUGUAUAAGAUCAAAUGUCAAAUUUAUUUGCGAUUUGAGAGAAUUUCAAGAUGACCAUUCGGCGUCCAAGUAGUUAUCCUAAAAGUUUUUUGGACACUUUUAAUAGUGUGAAUGAAAAGAUUGUGGAAGACAUAUCCAUAGAAUUUUUCUAUAAGCCACAUACGAUUACUCUGUUAGCAGUUUCUAUAGCAGCAGUGGUUUAUUCAUCAUUUAUAAGAGAUGAACAAGAUAUUAGUGCCAAUAUUAGGGCAGGAGUCUUUUGUGUUGUAUUCUUCUUUAUGAUAAUAUCAAUUUUGGCAUUUCCAAAUGGACCUUUUACAAGACCACAUCCAGCUGUUUGGAGAAUGGUUUUUGGACUUAGCGUGUUAUAUUUGAUGCUACUCGUGUUCUGCCUGUUCCAAAACUACAAAACAGUGAAGCAAAUAAUAUACUGGUUUGAUCCAGAACUUGAACACUUCCACAUAGACAUGGAUAGGGAGUAUGGUGUCAAUUGUUCGAACAUCUCGUUUGAAAACAUAUGGAAUCACGUGGAUGUGUUUGCUGUGGCCCACUUCCUGGGAUGGGCCUUCAAAGCUCUGCUGGUCCGCCAUCUUGGAAUUCUCUGGGCAGUCAGUGUCAUGUGGGAGUUUACAGAGAUUGCGUUUGCUCAUCUCUUACCAAACUUCUCCGAGUGCUGGUGGGAUGCUCUAGUUCUUGAUGUAUUGGUCUGCAAUGGUCUCGGUAUUUGGGUCGGUCUCAAAAUCUGUAAAAUGCUUGAGAUGAGGGAAUACAAGUGGGUUAGUAUAAGGGACAUCCAUUCAACCACAGGCAAGUUGAAGCGAGCAGUGUUGCAGUUCACGCCGCGUGACUGGAUGGAAGUGAGAUGGCUUGACCCGUCCACAACUUACAUGCGCUUCUUUGCCAUCUGUCAGCUCGUCAUCUUCUGGCAAGUGUGUGAACUCAACACUUUCUUCCUCAAACAUAUCUUCGAGAUGCCUCCGUCCCACCCCCUGGUGUUGUGGAGGCUGUUGCUUGUCGGGAUUAUUGUCGCACCCUCUAUAAGGCAGUACUAUAUGUACGCUACAGACCCAAGCUGCAAGAGGGUUGGUACUCAAUGCUGGGUGUACGGAGCCAUCAUGGCUACCGAGGCACUCCUCUGCUUCAAGAACGGACGAGAGUUGUUUGGACAAACACAAGCGACCAACAUCUGUAUCUGGCUACUGCUCAUCUUCUUUCUAUCUUGCCUGUGCGUCUACGGCUGCGUUCUGUGGCACAAAUACUUUCAGACGGAGAGUAUGUACUCUAGAGAAACUUCUCCCUGUAAAUCUCCAUCCUCGGAUCUCUCAGAGAGCCUCUCAGAAUCCAGCCAGGCCAGCACAGCAAAGACAGCCCUGCAUUUUAGCCCUGAAAGCUUCCCUGAGGAUUUGAGGAGAAGAAGGCAGGUUAACGGAGUCAACACAUCCUAGUUUCCUAGGCUCUAGUCAUCAGUUUGGUUACCUCGUUAAUAGUCAUUUGUGUGCAACUAACACUGUUGUAAGAAGGUCAGAAAUGAAGCAGAACAUGUUUCAUCAAGAAUUAUUGACAUACAUGUUCAAAAUACUUUUAUUAAAGAUCAAUACAUAUAUGUAUUCUAUUGUAUGAUAUUAACUCAUGAUCAGUGAUUUGUAUAGGAUUAUAAGUAAGCCAUAUUGUAAAUAAUAUGAUUAUCACAUUGUGAACCUGUAAUUAUAAAAAUAUAAUCUCAUUUUCUGUGAUACAUUUAAGGUUGAAGGUUAUUCAGUUUAGCACAAACUCUGGACCUGGUUUAUUACAAAACCCAUAGUUUUAUAUGUCUGAAAAAUGCUCUGACUGUGAGAAUUUGAACAACCCAACAAAAGAAAUAAAUUAAUAUAAAUAUAUUUUAUCACAGAGAUUUUUUCUUGGACAUAGGUUUCUUAGAUAGUUCAUUGUUACAGGUUUAAAAAAAAAUUUUAAAUCACUGUGACACUCACCUCCUCAAUCAACUAAAGAGUACAUUUUUCUCAUAUCGCUUUAAAAAUAGGGAUAGUAAUCUUAUUCAAAGCACUAGAAUACCUGAAUAAUAGUAUAAUAGUUUAUUACUUUUGCCUGGUAUUAGUUUGGCUAUAGAAUAACCUUAUUCUAGUGCCGUCUUUAACUAAAUUAUAUUGAUGUUUUAUUGUAACUGUUAUUGUAUAUUUGCGGCAUACUAAAAUCAACAGCUAUCCUGGCUCAUUGGUUUACACUAUUGUUGGGUAUUUAACUAUUGUUUAUGUUUGUUAAUUUUCUCCCAUCUAUAUAUUCAAAAUUAUUGGUUUUUCUUUUAGAGUUGGUUCAGCUCUUAUACUCAUCUGAUUUUCAUAGUUUUGGUCUUAAAUUAAAGGUAUGCAUGCACAGAUUUGCCAUUAAGCAUCCACAUUCAUUUAUCUGAUGUAUAUUUUGAGUUAUGCACAAAAGCAACUUCCUACGGUUACAUUUCUUAUGGGAGUUAAAUUUGGCGUUUCUCUUCCGAGUUCGUUUGGCUCUUCUACCCAACCAAUUUUCAUCAUCUUGGUUUUAAUAAAAAUUAAAGUUAUGCAUGCACAGAUUUGCCAUCAAGCAUCAUCAUUCAUUUAUCCACUGUAUUACUUGACCAAAAAACAGAAUUUGAUUUUUUUUUAAGUUCUUACUUCAACUAAAGAUGUACAGGGUGAGGCAGUGAAACGGCACGAUUCCGAUACCAGUUGACAAGGAAUUGGGGGCUAUUUAGAGUAUAGGGGAAAUGACCAUAGGCGUCUAGACAAGUGGAAAUUUCAGUAGCCACGGAGCGUUGGACGAGGGCACAACACACGUUUGCUGUAAAUACAUACUACAAAAACGUGGAUAUUAUGGUUUGUCCUCAGCGCAAUUUCUGUUGUGAGUUCAGACCAUCGCCGCGGUCUCCCUUGCCUUCAAGGAAAGUUGUCCUCCUCUUGGGUGAAUAACUUUGAAGCCACUGCUAGUACGACAAAGCGCUAUAAAACGAUUGCAGACGUUAUGCAAACGCUAAAAAACGUCAUGGGCUGAUUUCAAUUCACAUUUCAACAAUGUUUGCAAAACCAAGUAUGUUAUUUUACUGAUUACAAAAAAUAAUUAUUUUUAAGCUGAAACAUGUACUAAGGAUUUAUGUUAAAACAACUAUCCAUUUUUUCUAAAUGAAUUAUUUGUGAUUUUUCAAAAUCGUGCCGUUUCACUGCCUCCCCCUGUAUAUCACCAGUUCUAAUUACAUUAUCCUAUAUAUUCUGGUCUUAGAACCUUCAGUGAAAUACCAGUUUCAUUUGAGCUAUUGAUUAUUAAGAUCAGACGUACCUGAAGCACUCUGCUGAAUCACGAAUCAUCAAUAAUUAUUAUUUGAGGACUUAUCUGUAAUCUAUGAUACGUAACUCCAUUUUUAUUUAAGUUAUUUUAUAUGUCUUGGUCUUAGUUAAAACACUCCUAGAAAUAAUGGCUCUCAUUUGAUUUUUUUCAUUUGUAUUUUUUCUCAGAAGUUUUUUUUUUGUAAAACUGGCUGUGACAUAAAUGUCGGAAUGGAAUGUUCAGUUCACCGUUCCGUGAAUAGACAACAGACAUUUCUAAAAGCCUAACCGUGAUUUUGUGCUAAACUGAACAGCUGUACUUGCUCAGUUUCAAGACCUUCUCGGAUCUCUAGUAUGGCUUGUACUGUAGGUUCAUUGUUCCCAGGUGUACAAUCAGCUGUUGGACAGUGAUAAUGCAUGUAAAAAAUAUAUAGUUUUUUACUUUACUGUACUUACGGUCUGUCAGCCGUUAAAUGCUGUAUAUCGUCAGCAUUUGUUGCAAGUUCUCUUGUUCAUUAGUUGUUGUAUUAUGUGUUAUUGUUGUCAAUUUUAAAAAGCCUGUAAUUAAAGUUGGAAAAAACA